UAGGGAAUAUUGGACAAUGGGUGAGAGCCUGAUCCAGCCAUGCCGCGUGUAGGAAGAAGGCGUUAUGCGUUGUAAACUGCUUUUGCCAGGGGAUAAAAAGACCGUGCGCGGUUAAUUGAAGGUACCUGGUGAAUAAGCCACGGCUAACUACGUGCCAGCAGCCGCGGUAAUACGUAGGUGGCAAGCGUUGUCCGGAUUUAUUGGGUUUAAAGGGUGCGUAGGUGGCCCUGUAAGUCAGUGGUGAAAUAUCUCAGCUUAACUGAGAGGGUGCCAUUGAUACUGCAGGGCUUGAGUACAGAUGAGGUAGGCGGAAUUGACGGUGUAGCGGUGAAAUGCAUAGAUAUCGUCAAGAACACCGAUAGCGAAGGCAGCUUACCAAGCUGUAACUGACGCUGAGGCACGAAAGUGUGGGGAUCAAACAGGAUUAGAUACCCCUGUAGUCCCUGAGCGGGCUGGCAAGGCGCAU
rnacentral:rRNA from 1 species